GACGAACGCUGGCGGCGUGCUUAACACAUGCAAGUCGAACGGAAAGGCCCUGCUUUUGUGGGGUGCUCGAGUGGCGAACGGGUGAGUAACACGUGAGUAACCUGCCCUUGACUUUGGGAUAACUUCAGGAAACUGGGGCUAAUACCGGAUAGGAGCUCCUGCUGCAUGGUGGGGGUUGGAUAGUUUCGGCGGUUGGGGAUGGACUGGCGGCUUAUCAGCUUGUUGGUGGGGUAGUGGCUUACCAAGGCUUUGACGGGUAGCCGGCCUGAGAGGGUGACCGGCCACAUGGGGACUGAGAUACGGACCAGACUCGUACGGGAGGCAGCAGGGGGGAAUAUGGCACAAUGGGCGGAAGCCUGAUGAAGAAACGCCGCGUGCGGGAUGACGGCCUUCGGGUUGUAAACCGCUUUCGCCUGUGACGAAGCGUGAGUGACGGUAAUGGGUAAAGAAGCACCGGCUAACUACGUG
rnacentral:rRNA from 1 species